AUUGAACGCUGGCGGCAUGCUUUACACAUGCAAGUCGAACGGUAACAGGUUAAGCUGACGAGUGGCGAACGGGUGAGUAAUGCAUCGGAACGUGCCCGAUCGUGGGGGAUAACGCAGCGAAAGCUGCGCUAAUACCGCAUACGAUCUGAGGAUGAAAGCGGGGGACCGUAAGGCCUCGCGCGAUCGGAGCGGCCGAUGUCAGAUUAGGUAGUUGGUGGGGUAAAGGCUCACCAAGCCAACGGUAUGUAGCUGGUCUGAGAGGACGACCAGCAAAACGGGGGGUGUGGAACGGCCCAGAGUCCUACGGGAGGCAGCAGUGAGGAAUUUUGGACAAUGGGCGAAAGCCUGAUCCAGCAAUGCCGCGUGCAGGAAGAAGGCCUUCGGGUUGUAAACUGCUUUUGUACGGAGCGAAAAGGUCUCCUCUAAUACAGGGGGCUCAUGACGGUACCGUAAGAAUAAGCACCGGCUAACUACGUGCCAGCAGCCGCAGUAA
rnacentral:rRNA from 1 species